UACGUAGGGGGCAAGCGUUGUCCGGAAUCAUUGGGCGUAAAGAGCGUGUAGGUGGCUCGGUAAGUCCGCUGUGAAAGUCCAGGGCUCAACCCUGGAAAGCCGGUGGAAACUGUCGAGCUCGAGUCCGGAAGAGGCGAGUGGAGUUCCUGGUGUAGCGGUGAAAUGCGCAGAUAUCAGGAGGAACACCAAUGGCGAGGGCAGCUCGCUGGGACGGUACUGACACUGAGACGCGAAAGCGUGGGGAGCAAACAGG
rnacentral:rRNA from 1 species